UCAUGGCGCAUUGACUCUCUCUGCAUCCUCCAACCCGCUGAAGACCUUCCCUUUGACAUCCACACCAGUGAAAACCUUUCCCUCGGACCAAGGACUAUCGACAUCGUGCCCCGACACACCUGGGACCCUUGAUUCAAGUUUUAGCACUGUGGGUGAAGCAGAC